GCCAGUGUGGUGUAGUGGUUUGAACACUGGAGUAUGACUCUGGAGACCAGGGGUUGAAUCCCAGCUUAGUCA